rnacentral:rRNA from 1 species
GAUGAACGCUAGCGGCAGGCCUAACACAUGCAAGUCGAGGGGCAGCACAGAAACAGCAAUGUUUUGGUGGCGACCGGCGGACGGGUGCGUAACGCGUAUGCAACCUACCUUUAACAGGGGGAUAACGGAGAGAAAUUUCCACUAAUACCCCAUAACAUCGAUCAAGGCAUCUUGAUUGGUUGAAAACUCCGGUGGUUAAAGAUGGGCAUGCGUUGUAUUAGGUAGUUGGUGGGGUAAUGGCUCACCAAGCCUACGAUACAUAGGGGGACUGAGAGGUUAGCCCCCCACACUGGUACUGAGACACGGACCAGACUCCUACGGGAGGCAGCAGUGAGGAAUAUUGGUCAAUGGGGGCAACCCUGAACCAGCCAUGCCGCGUGCAGGAAGACGGCUCUAUGAGUUGUAAACUGCUUUUAAACAGGGAUAAAGCACAGUAUGUAUACUGUGUUGAAGGUACUGUAAGAAUAAGGAUCGGCUAACUCCGUGCCAGCCGCCGCAGUAA